rnacentral:rRNA from 1 species
GAUGAACGCUGGCGGCGUGCUUAACACAUGCAAGUCGAACGGAAAGGCCCAAGCUUGCUUGGGUACUCGAGUGGCGAACGGGUGAGUAACACGUGGGUGAUCUGCCCUGCACUUCGGGAUAAGCCUGGGAAACUGGGUCUAAUACCGGAUAGGACCACUUCUUGGAUGUUGUGGUGGAAAGUUUUUUCGGUGUGGGAUGAGCUCGCGGCCUAUCAGCUUGUUGGUGGGGUAAUGGCCUACCAAGGCGUCGACGGGUAGCCGGCCUGAGAGGGUGUACGGCCACAUUGGGACUGAGAGACGGCCCAGACUCCUACGGGAGGCAGCAGGGGGGAAUAUUGCACAAUGGGCGCAAGCCUGAUGCAGCGACGCCGCGGGGGGGAUGACGGCCUUCGGGUUGGAAACUCCUUUCGCUAGGGACGAAGCGUUUUGUGACGGUACCUGGAGAAGAAGCACCGGCUAACUACGUG